rnacentral:rRNA from 1 species
CGGGCGCGGCGAACGGUCUAAGUCCCUUGGAACGGGGCGUCAUAGAGGGUGAGAAUCCCGUAUGUGAUCGGCGACCAAGCCCAUGUGAAACUCCUUCGACGAGUCGAGUUGUUUGGGAAUGCAGCUCAAAAUGGGUGGUAAAUUUCAUCUAAAGCUAAAUACCGGCCAGAGACCGAUAGCGCACAAGUAGAGUGAUCGAAAGAUGAAAAGCACUUUGGAAAGAGAGUCAAAAAGUACGUGAAAUUGUUGAAAGGGAAGCGCUUGCAACCAGACCUGCCCGCGGGCGAUCAGCCGUCCCUCCGGGGGCGGUGCACUCGCCCGCGAUCAGGCCAGCAUCGGUUCGGGCGGCCGGAUAAAGGCCUUGGGAACGUGGCUCCUUUCGGGGAGUGUUAUAGCCCUUGGUGCAAUGCGGCCCGCCUGGACCGAGGACCGCGCUUCGGCUAGGAUGCUGGCGUAAUGGUUGUAAGCGGCCCGUCUUGAAACACGGACCAAGGAGUCUAACAUCUAUGCGAGUGUUUGGGUGUCAAACCCAUACGCGGAAUGAAAGUGAACGGAGGUGGGAACCCGUUCGGGCGCACCAUCGACCGAUCCAGAUGUCUUCGGAUGGAUUUGAGUACGAGCAUAGCUGUUGGGACCCGAAAGAUGGUGAACUAUGCCAGAAUAGGGUGAAGCCAGAGGAAACUCUGGUGGAGGCUCGCAGCGGUUCUGACGUGCAAAUCGAUCGUCAAAUUUUGGCAUAGGGGCGAAAGACUAAUCGAACCAUU